rnacentral:rRNA from 1 species
UACGGAGGAUGCAAGCGUUAAUCGGAAUUACUGGGCGUAAAGCGUGCGCAGGCGGUUCGUUGUGUCCGUCGUGAAAGCCCCGGGCUUAACCUGGGAACUGCGAUGGAAACUAGCGAGCUGGAGUGUGGCAGAGGGGGGUGGAAUUCCGCGUGUAGCAGUGAAAUGCGUAGAGAUGCGGAGGAACACCGAUGGCGAAGGCAGCCCCCUGGGCUAACACUGACGCUCAGGCACGAAAGCGUGGGGAGCAAACAGG